rnacentral:lncRNA from 1 species
UCAAUUGAAGAAAAAAAAAAUGCACAUCGUGAAGAUUAAUUCUAACAUAAACAAGUUUAUACAUGAACUAGAAAAGAAAAAAAACAAAGACGAAAAUGAAUAAGUUAUCAAAGUAGAGCCCCAUGCCAAUACAAGGACUAUUGAGAUCACUACCUCGAUCGGCCAAUAAAACCUCAAAGGGAUGUGCAAUACAAGUUAACCACCUCCAUAAAAUAAUAGGAUACACCUUGUUCCGCCUCGUAGGAUGACAUAUCACCUAUGUGCUUCAACACUUCAAUGCAUGACCAACAUCUGAAAAGAUAUCAGGUUGUUUGCACAUACUAGGACCUCAUCUGAACUGGAUAUAAGCGCUCAUCUAACUUGGAUUAUGUUACAUAGAGCAUACUCGGAUAUACAUGAGUUGUUUCAACUUACACAAAACUCAAUUAAACUAGAUUGGCACUUCUGCCUAAAUGGGGGUUUGGUAACUCCAAUAUCCAAAACAACCUCGUAAUAAAAUACUCUAAAGCUAAGGAGAGAAGAUGACAACCAACAAGGAGCCUAUCAUUAAAUCAACCAAUAUAAAUAAGGGCCCCCGCCUCUCAGGUACGAUCAUUCUUUACUUACCACACUUAUACUCACUAUCCAAGUCAGUCUUCUACCUACUAGCACAUUGUCUGACUUAAGCGUUAGAGUGUCUUUUGCAGAGACCUCCCUCCUCGACACACACACUUUGGAGAAGGAAUUAGAAGGAGUGUAAAUCAGUCGUGAAGUAUCCAAUCACUAGUGAAGGAAGCACACCCUUUGCUCGGGAGGUAAACCUCAUUGUUCAUACAGGAACCAACAGACAUUAUCUUAUCAGCUCUGAGUACAAGUAAGUCAAGGCAACAAUGCCUCGAAACGAAGUUAUAUACCAUAUAUCAAGGUGCCUUAAAAAAAAAAAAAAAAAAAAUCAAGUACACCACAUCAACAUAUGUGGCGCUCUUUUUAGAGAAGACGGUGGAGUCCACUGAGAAAAUAAAUAAUUUUGAGGUAUAUUGUGGGUCCAGCUCUCUGCAAACUUUGUCAUCACCCUCGUCAGUGGUCUUUGCUUCCUCAAUUAUCCUUAGGAGUAUUCAAUCAAAUGAUUUUCUUUUCAUUGUUAAGGGUACGUGUGAAUGAACAGGAAAAAGUAAACACAGAGAGACUAAAUUAGAAUCAAUAUAAAAUAAGAUAAUCAACCGGUGUGCUAAGCUAAAGUAGAAUCAAUAUUUAUUACAAUAAAACCUAGUAAUACACAAUAUAAGUCCAAAACCACAUUAAACAAAACAAAUUUUGCGGAAAGAAACUGUCGGCUCCCAGCCUCCCCUCGUCAACUCUCCAUUCCUUAGUCUCAAUUAUUUGUGCUGGUAUUUUAAUUAUCUUCCUUCAAAACAAAACAAAAAAACUACAGUACUAAUUAUCUGUGUAUACAUGCAUAGCUACACCAGCAUCUCCUCCUCUAGAAAUAAACAUGACCAAAAUCAACAUAACCACAAAGAUCUGGUAAACAAACAAACUUGCAGUGUGAGUGUGUUUAAUCCAUUUCAGAUUUCAAUUUGAAAAACAAACAACUAUAAUCUGUUCACUGAAAGAGAUCCAUAACCCAUAGGAAAAGCAAAAACAAUGGCGGAGGACUCCAAACUCGAAGAAGACAGGAUCAGUAAUUUACCAGAUGGUCUGCUCAACCAG